UUUUUUUUUUCAAUUUGAUAUGUGUGCCACCUUUGUGAUACUGUUCAACACAUGGCAUGACCGGGAUAAUGUUUGAACAAUUACAUUUCCACUUUUUUUUAUUACUAGUAUACAAUUCAACCUAAGACCUGGGCCCAGUCGUUUGGAGGCCCUUUCUUCAGUUCUCCCUUAGCUGCAUUGCUCACCUUGCGGUGAGCAGUCCAGAGGCUAAGAGGUAAUGCUACUGGACCCUUAGCCUCUCCUUUUCGAGCAUACUUCUGGUACCUGGACCUUAGAGUUUCCUGUCCACAUGGUUCCAGCAUAUGAAGGUCUUUUGUUAGGAUUCUGUAUCAGGUCUCUCUGCUUUAGGGUAGACAAUGCCACUGGCAUGCAUAAAUCUAAGCAAGAGACACAAUGAAGGGGGUGGGGGUGGAAAAUGUGAUGGUGGACAGAGCUUGGAAGUGCAAGUUAGGGUGCACAUACUUGUCAGGGGAAGUGGGAAGGAAACUGGGGUUGGGCUAUGGGUUAUUUCUAUUCUCACCCCAGUUAAAUAUUGUGGUUGGACUUGAGUUUGCUUUUGGCAGAUGUCUGAUUUGUUUCUUCUCCCUUCCUCCUGAUGGCUUUUAUUUAUUUAUUUAUUUUUAAUUUUUUUUUUUUUAUUUAUGAUAGUCACACACAGAGAGAGAGAGAGAGGCAGAGACAUAGGCAGAGGGAGAAGCAGGCUCCAUGCACCAGGAGCCCGAUGUGGGAUUCGAUCCCGGGUCUCCAGGAUCGCGCCCUGGGCCAAAGGCAGGCGCCAAACCGCUGCGCCACCCAGGGAUCCCCUCUCCUGAUGGCUUUCUACUGCCCAUUCACUAUACACUGACACAUCUUCGAGGGCUGAUCAGGGCAGAGAGUACAGAGAGUAGAGGUUAAACUCAGAUCAGAUCAUUCUUCUGGUUUUUGAGUAACUAAUGAUCUUUACAAAUUGUGAGCAGCCCUGACAAAGUGUUCCUUAGAAUCAUAACAUCUGAAAAUCUGAAGGGAUCUCAGGGAUCAUUUCUCAAGCCCAUGAGGAUAAGGAAAAUGAAAGCUGGAAGACAAAGACAGAUAGCUAAAUAAAUACACAAUUAAUCUAAAAUCUCAUCUUCACCUAUUCUUACGAUCUUGUUAGCCUUCAAGGUAUGUGAUCAUUAGCCAAUGGUAAAGAAACAUGGUUUGUUCUUAGACCAAGGGUAUUUGCAGCUAUGUGUUUCUGGAGUUGUAUUUCCUGUCACUGUGUAGGAAAGAAGCUUCAUGACUAUUUUGUACCCUACAGACUAUUCUACUAGAGGCAUUAUAAUUCUUGGUCAAAUUCAUGGGACUCUAGAGCACUUGCCAUACUCUAUUUUGUUCAUUUGACUAAUAAUAUUUUUAAGUGCUCACAACUACCCCCUUCCCUCUAAAAAUCUUAACUGUCUUAUGUCUUACUUCUUCUGUGCCUUGCUCUGUGCCUAGGCUACAUGAUAUGCUCACCUAGGAUAUAAUGCCAGCGGCCAAGAAAAACUUAAAGGUUUUCCGCUCAG
rnacentral:lncRNA from 1 species